AGCAUAAUUUGCUCAUGUCCUCCCUGGAGCUCUAUAGCCAGAUGUGUCCUUGAGCACAUCUCUGCACGUAGGCUAACCUUGAUGAACUGCAUACUGGACACUUUGUAAUAAUCCAUUGCCAGCUAGAACUGGUUGAGACAGAAACCCUUUGUCGAAGUGGAAAGUCCCGAUCCCACAGCCAUUGCCUGUAACUCCUAAGUGCCUGGAAUAUUCUGUAAGUAAAUUCUUUGAAGAAACUGUUCAUCAUCUCCAGCCUUUAUUUGGAUAACCAACAUUCUCCCUCUCCGAAAUUAAACAAACACGCGGAGCAAAAAAGCAUCCUCCAACAAUUGGUGAUCCCGACGUGACUUCGGACUGAGGUUUUAGUUGACAAACAGUACAUCGGCUGGCCAACAAUUGAUAAGGAAACGAAUCAGCAGAUCGAGCAGGAAAAAAGGUUGCGGGGUACCGACCAACACUCCAGCUAACUCUAAGUGAGUGUGAAUAUGACAAGCAACAGGAAAGGGGGUGUCAAAGCUGAGGAUGGCAUAUGACGAAAAGAGGGUGGACAGAUCCCUUCCAGGUCACGGAGUGGAUGGCCACAGCAGUACGUCUUGCAGGAAAGGGGGACACGUGGUUCCACAUCUCGUCAACGCGACCCGCCAGAUCCGCCUCAGGCACAUCGAUCCCUCCACCUGACGACCACCGGAAAACCACGUCUUCUCCAGCCGGCUGUUACCCGUUGAUGACAUCAUUCGACAAGGGUUGAUUUCACGGUACACGGGCAGAAUAACCCCGGUGAAUCAACCUGGGACCAGGCAGUCUAACCCUAAGGUCCUGAAGUAGCCGACUACAACCCAUCUCGACUCAUCCCAACCCAGAGGAAAAGUUGGAAGACCUCCCUCCAGCCCAACCAUGCGACCCUCAGCAAGCCGGUUGAUCGCCGGAUUGACCUUGUUAAUGGUCCCAGUGAUCUUCUCGCGGCCGCUAACCUCAUCCCCGCGCCGCAAUGUAUCCAUAUCGUGGCUGCGACGAUUCCUACAUGACCCUGCAUCUAUGGAUGUUUGGAAACUGGCUGACACUGGUCAUCCACUGACCCCCAACAUGUGGUAUACUUAUGCAUACUCGACUGCCAAAUCAUUAAACAAGAUCAAUUGUUAUGUUUGCUCUCUAAUCCUUCAUACUACUACAAAACCAUCGCUAACUGCUAAAGGGAUGAUAGUCGAGGAAGCUAAGUGUUUUGCAUCUAUAUCUCAUUUGGGAUAUCAACAUUGCUCUAUUGUUCUAAACGACACGGUCGCACGUCCAUAUCAAGCUGCUGUGGCCAUUAGAAACAAUACUUGUAGCAAACUCUUUUUUCCUGUGUUUCACUAUAAAAUGACUGGCCAACCCCUUGCCGUUAAGUUAUUUUUUACUCAUACCCAUUAUAUACAUGACCAAUGCUAUAUACAGGAACACGGAAACAUGACUCUGGGCUCCUUGAAUGUUACAUUGCAAUGCAAGGGGAACCGAGGUCUAUCUUCCGGUGAAGUGGCCCCUGUAAUGUGUCAGGACCAUCAAAUGCCACGGGUUUUUGAUGUCGUUUUCCUCGUCAGUGUUUUUUUUCUUCAACACCUGUUUCAAAGCGAAUACCGAGACAGGAAAGACAGAAGUUGCGGAUUCGCUGCAAUGUCGUAAAAAUAGGAAGUAUGGCAAUGUCGUUCGUCGUUAAAAUUCACAUAUGUGUUGCCAGGUCACUCUAUUUUUAGCCUGCGUUAAGUUCUUCUCAGCUUUGCUGAAUUGCAGUCAAACCAUGUUCUACAUUCAGCUGGUGUAAAACUCCGUGUGUCCGACUGUAUUGUGCCACCGCGGUGUAGAAGAUGACCAUCAAGGAGCUGUCUCGACUCGAUAACAUUCAACUCUUUCAAAACUAUUGUGAAGUCGGUGCUAACUGAUUUGCAGCAAAUAAUCAAUUGCUCACUUCAGUCUGGUGACUUUCCUAAAGCUCUCUUAGUAGCUGCCAGUAAGCGUCUUCUAAAAAACAGAGAACUGGACGAUGUUAGAAAGGUAUAGCUGUAUACCCAUCUCAAAUCUCCCAUUCAUAGCCAAGAUUCUUGUGAAAGUUAUUUUUAAGCAACUCAGCAGUUUCUUGAAUUUAAAUGGACUUUUUGACAAAUUUCAAUCAAGUUUUUGAAUUCAUCACACUACAGAAUCGGCUAUCAAAGUGCUAAAUGAUAUAAGGUUGAAUAACGAUCUCAAGAAAGGUGUCAAUUCAGGUCUUGUUGGAUUUCAGCACCUGCAUUUCAUACAGCAGUGUAGAAUAACGCAUGGUAUCAUCCUAGAUCCCGUGGAGGGCGAAUCGAGCCUCCGUCUGCACGAACCACGAUGUCGCGGACGUCUCCCAAAACAAUUUGAGGGUGGCGGUUGCCAUGUUCGGAAACGCCGGGACUGACGUUGGGGUCACCAGUGUAGCGCCGAAGAAAAGGAGUCGGAGUCGGAGUGUUGAACACAGGAGCAAACUUCGUUUUAUUGCAGACAUCAACAGAGUGAACCAAUUACGCCUGAACUCUCUAACACAC